rnacentral:rRNA from 1 species
CCUACGGGAGGCAGCAGUGAGGAAUAUUGGUCAAUGGGCGCGAGCCUGAACCAGCCAAGUAGCGUGAAGGAAGACGGCCCUACGGGUUGUAAACUUCUUUUAUAAAGGAGUAAAUUGAACCACGUGUGCCUUAUUGUAUGUACUUUAUGAAUAAGCAUCGGCUAACUCCGUGCCAGCAGCCGCGGUAAUACGGAGGAUCCGAGCGUUAUCCGGAUUAAUUGGGUUUAAAGGGAGCGUAGAGGGGGGGUUAAGUCAGGUGUGAAAGUUCGCGGCUCAACCGUAGAACUGCCAUUGAUACUGGCAGCCUGGAGUACAGUAGAGGUAGGCGGAAUUCGUGGUGUAGCGGUGAAAUGCUUAGAUAUCACGAAGAACCCCGAUUGCGAAGGCAGCUUACUAAACUGUGACUGACAUUGAUGCUCGAAAGUGUGGGUAUCAAACAGGAUUAGAUAUCCCGGUAGUC